UGAACGCUGGCGGCAGGCCUAACACAUGCAAGUCGGGCGGUAACAGGGAGAAGCUUGCUUCUCUGCUGACGAGCGGCGGACGGGUGAGUAAUGUAUGGGGAUCUGCCUGAUGGCGGGGGAUAACUACUGGAAACGGUAGCUAAUACCGCAUAAUGUCUUCGGACCAAAGCGGGGGACCUCCGGGCCUCGCGCCAUCAGAUGAACCCAUAUGGGAUUAGCUAGUAGGUAAGGUAACGGCUUACCUAGGCGACGAUCCCUAGCUGGUCUGAGAGGAUGAUCAGCCACACUGGGACUGAGACACGG
rnacentral:rRNA from 1 species